UAAGUACUUCUUCCGUCCCAAAAUUUUUGUCUUAGAUUUGUCUAAAUACGGAUAUAUCAAAUCACAUUUUAGUAUUAGAUAUAUCCGUAUCUAGACAAAUAUAAGACAAGAAUUUUGAGACGAAGGGAGUAGCAA
rnacentral:pre_miRNA from 1 species